UGUGAUGAUCUCGUGGAGGUAGUCUGUAAGCCAGAAUAAGGCUAAUUCUAGCUUUGCUCUACAGACAUUCACCCUGGAGUGAGUCGACAACAACAGCCACUCCCCUGUGUUAUACUGGAAAUUUGGCUUUUGACGAAGACCACCACCACGACAUAAAGGUGUGAGUGGAUGGAAAGGAACAUUAUGGUAGCAUCAGGAGGCCAUCCCACACAAGAGGCAGAACAAUUCCUCACAACUGUAUAAUAAGUCAGGACAGUAUGAGGAUUAGUGAACAUCUUCAGGAGAACAUUGUAAACAAGAUUAAGGUAAAGAAGACCACAAUAACACGAAGUGCCCAGUGGAAAAUAGAC
rnacentral:misc_RNA from 1 species